UUUUCAUUAACAUGCAAAAGUAAGCGUUGCAGUUUUAAGAUGGUCCCUUAAUCCUCUGAGCAGAGAAGAGCAACAUUUUAGCCACAUUUUGCCUCCAUAAAGAAAAUAUGACACCAAAUCGCAAAAACAAGAGUUGUAACUGGUUCGCUAUCGUUAGCUGAUUCAGAAUAUGUUGUUUAUCUACUGUUCCCUCUGUAGAUUUUAGUAGCUGAAUUUGUCACUAGAAUCAUUUACCAAUGAAAGUCUCUGGAGGGGUCUGAAAACUUGCUCAAUAUUGUAGGCAGCACUGCCUGAGUGGCAAAUCACUUGUUAGCUUAUAGGCCUACUGUAGCUCUGAUUAGCUAUGGUUCACAGGUCCACGUAGACUCUAGUCCUGGACAAGACAGAUUUUUUAUUAGGUUUUAUUCACUGCAGUGUCUAUUAAUUGUCCUGUCAGUUCAGCUUUUAACGGUGGCUAUUUGUGUGUGUCUGUGUGUGUGUGUAUAUCUGUUUGUGCACGUGUGAGCGAAUGAGAGCCACUGGGAAGGGCUUGUCUCAGACUCUUGUUUUAGUGUUGGCACAACUUCAGACUGCCAGCCUAAUCCAAGGCCCCCUCAGAGCUUGGACACAACUAAAGCAGUCAGCCUACAGGGAGGAGGCCAGAGACUUAGCAAUGUGAUGCCAGGACUACAACCUCUCCCACAACGUCAGAAAGUCCAAGGAGCUGAUCGUGGAUUAUAGGAGAAAGAGGGGAGAGCUCGCCCCCAUCCAUAUUGACGGGGCUCUUGUGGAGCGGGUCGAGAACUUCAAGUUCCUUUGCUUCCACGCCACUAAACACUUAACAUGGUCCACACACACACCCGCACAGUCAUGAAGAGGGCAUGGCAACACCUCUUCCCCCCCAGGAGGCUGAAAUGAUUUGGCAUGGGACCUUUGAUCCUUAAAAAGUUCUACAGCUGCAACAUCGAGAGGAACUUGGCUGGCUGCAUCACCGCUUGGUAUGGCAAACGCACCGUGCUUGAUUGCAAAGUGCCAAAGAGGGUGGUGUGGACAGCUCAGUACAUCACUGGGCUGAGCUCUAUGCCAUCCAGGACCUCUAUAUCAGGCGGUGUCGGAGGAAGGCCUGAAAAAUUUCCAAAGACCUCAGCCACCCAAGCCAUAGACUGUUAAUUUUGCUACUGUCCGGCAAACGGUAGUGGAGCAUCAGCUCUCAGACCAACAGGCUCUGAGACAGCUUCUACCCCCAAGCCAUAAGACUUCUAAAUAGCCAGACUGCUAAAUAGUCAGUCUUGACCUGACCCUCCCUACACACACUCACUAGACUUUAAAUAUUCACCGUAUACUCACUCAUUCAUUCACUCACUCACUCACUCACUCACUCACUCACUCACUCACUCACUCACUCACUCACUCACUCACUCACUCACUCACUCACUCACUCACUCACUCACUCACUCACUCACACACAGUACAAUGACACUCCCACACAAAACCUACAGACAUUCACAUACACUACAUACGCACUCACACACGUAACAUAGACGCAUACCGACACAAGACAAACACAUUACACACACUUUUACAUUAUCAUUUGCUGCUGCUACUCUGUUCUUUAUUUUACUCUUAUUAUUAUCUAUCCUGAUGCCUAGUUAUUUAACCCUGCCUUCAUGUACAUAUCUACCUCAAAUACCUUAUUAUUAUCUAUCCUGAUGCCUAGUUAUUUAACCCUGCCUUCAUGUACAUAUCUACCUCAAAUACCUUAUUAUUAUCUAUCCUGAUGCCUAGUCACUUUACCCUGCCUUCAUGUACAUAUCUACCUCAAAUACCUUAUUAUUAUCUAUCCAGAUGCCUAGUUAUUUAACCCUGCCUUCAUGUACAUAUCUACCUCAAAUACCUUAUUAUUAUCUAUCCUGAUGACUAGUCACGUUCCCC
ensembl:lncRNA